CUCCUCUGUCCAUGGGAUUUUCCAGGCAAGAGCCCUGGAGUGGGGUGCCAGUGCCUUCUCUGAGUUUCUCGGGUAUGCACCUUGGCGCUAUGGGGCCAAUAUCCUUUGUUAUCAAAUGCUGAGUUUCCUCAAGCUGCGCCUUCAUUGGUGGCUGCGGUCUGAUGACUGCUUGAUGAUGGACACUCCUUGUUUCCAUCCUGAGUUCCCUCUGGGCUCACUGGGGGAGGGGUUGCAAUUGCUGAUGCCUGUGACAUACUCGGUUUCUGAUAUGGCGGGCAGUGUUUCAUUUCUCACAACUUCACACGUGUCGCGCACAUUUGCUCUCCUACCCACCACAUCUGCAGCCCUUGACCCUGCAGUUGAAGACCACUGCCCCAGCCUCAACCUCAUCUCAGCCAAAGCUUCAGCUCCCUCUCUCCAGCCUGCCCCCAUGUUCAAGGUCUGACUGAUCCUUUUCUCUCUGCUGUUUCACGGGAUCCACCGUUCAGUCCCUGUGGCGGGAGAUGCCUCCUCACAGCAUCCAGCCAGACUCCUCUCUCCCAGUCUGGGAUCCUGGGAAAACAGAACCAGAGGCCAGGGCGAACACUGUGCUGGAGACAGGGGUUCGGGAACCCCGGGGACAAGCAGGAACUGACCUGACUGCAUCCCUGACGGUCUUCAGAACCACUGCAGCCUCCCUCCCCCGGCUCCUGGUCAUAGCUGGCCAACCUCUGUAGCUCUUCCUCUCAGAGUGAGCUUUGUAGGGACUUUCAAGUUUCCCUCCACUACGGAGACCUUUUCCUGCCCAGUCCCUGGCUUAGGUCUCUGUGACUCUCCUUCAGAUCCCCUACUUUGAGGGUUCACCCCUCGGACUCUUUCUGGCAGGCGUUCCCAGGCCCAGACCCCUCAGAGGCCUCUUGCUCUGGGAAGGGAGCCUUUAUGUAGCUCUAGCCCAGUGCAAAAAGGCUGGUUUAAAACUCAACAUUCAGAAAACAAAAAUCAUGGCAUCCGGUCCCAUCACUUCAUG
rnacentral:lncRNA from 1 species